rnacentral:rRNA from 1 species
UAUGGUAAUUGUGUGCCAGCCUCUUCUUUACUACGUAGGUGGUAAGCGUUGUCCGGAAUUAUUGGGCGUAAAGCGCGCGCAGGCGGCCGUGCAAGUCCAUCUUAAAAGCGUGGGGCUUAACCCCAUGAGGGGAUGGAAACUGCAGGGCUGGAGUGUCGGAGGGGAAAGUGGAAUUCCUAGUGUAGCGGUGAAAUGCGUAGAGAUUAGGAAGAACACCGGUGGCGAAGGCGACUUUCUAGACGACAACUGACGCUGAGGCGCGAAAGCGUGGGGAGCAAACAGG